rnacentral:lncRNA from 1 species
UUGAUACGGAUCCAAUAGGACAAAUUUCUAACAAUGGUGUGGAGCAAACUUAUAUCAUUCCAAUGGAUCCAAGAGUAGUUCAAAAUCAUAUUCAUAUAAUCCAUAUAUAUUUGGGGCGUGCUUUAAUUCAUAUGGGACAGAUUUGGUGCAACACUUGCAAUCAUAGGCUAAGGGAGCCUAAUCAAACCUAUGGGCUAAAACUACAUAAAGGAAAGCCUAAAGUGAAGAUCAAGUAAGGCUUUUGUGAAGAUUCAACUUUGUUAUGAUGGGCUUGCUAGUUUUAUUAUUUAAACACUUGUUUUAUUUUAGUUUUGUUUGGGCUUGUAUUCUGGC